GUGAGGAAUAUUGGUCAAUGGGCGGAAGCCUGAACCAGCCAAGUCGCGUGAGGGAAUAAGGCCCUACGGGUCGUAAACCUCUUUUGCCGGGGAGCAAGGGCCGGGACGCGUCCCGGCCCGGAGAGUACCCGGAGAAAAAGCAUCGGCUAACUCCGUGCCAGCAGCCGCGGUAAUACGGAGGAUGCGAGCGUUAUCCGGAUUUAUUGGGUUUAAAGGGUGCGUAGGCGGGCUUUUAAGUCAGCGGUAAAAAUUCGGGGCUCAACCCCGUCCGGCCGUUGAAACUGGGGGCCUUGAGUGGGCGAGAAGAAGGCGGAAUGCGUGGUGUAGCGGUGAAAUGCAUAGAUAUCACGCAGAACCCCGAUUGCGAAGGCAGCCUUCCGGCGCCCUACUGACGCUGAGGCACGAAAGUGCGGGGAUCGAACAGGA
rnacentral:rRNA from 1 species